rnacentral:lncRNA from 1 species
ACUAUUAUCUUUUCUGAAAAAAACUCGUUCAAACACAGUUUUUAAUUUAGACUUUGUUUGGGAUUGCGGGGAGAUUGCGUUCCUGUUUGUUUCCGUACGUAAUAUUGCGUUCCGCAUAUUGUGGUUAGUCAGUUACGAUAUAUUUUCUACGGUCCCAUCGGAGAAUGCAGAAGCAUAUCUCUAUAUACUUUUUCUCAACGCCAUUCUAUCUAAUAGCGUUAGAUCGACCUCAAUUCCAAACUAAGCCUUAGGCUUCGUUUGGGACUGCGGGGAGAUUGCGUUACGUGCGGUGAGAAACUACAAUGGGAAAAUAUUCUGUUUGUUUUGCGUUCCGCAUAUUGCGAUGAGUCGGUUAUAAUAUAUUUUCUGCAGUCCCACCGGAGAACGUAGAAGUAUAUCCCUAUAUAUUUUUUUUCUAACUCUAAUUUAUCUAACAGCGUCGGAUAGAUCUCAAUACCAAAUUAAGCCUUAGUUGCUAAUUGACCGGUUCUAUUUGCUAAA